GUCUUUCUAUUUCUGUUUAUUUCUUUAAUCAAGAUAAAAUAUAAUAUAUAUAAACUUAUUUGUGAAGUGGAAAGUUUUUUUUAAUUUAUUUUUUUAUUGACUAAUAUUGCUGUUUAACUUUAAACAUUCUCUUCAACAACAGUAAGGUAUAACAAUUACGGAUGGAAAUAUUACCGUGGAAGUUUCUAUUACGUCUCUACAAGCACCGCAAACUGGCAGGCCAGUCGUAAUUACUGCACCGCAAGGGGAGCCGACCUGGUGGUCGUCAAUGAUGCUUUCGAAAACAACUUCACCAGAGGACUGAAACGCAAGGCCUGGAUUGGACUGUACAGGUCAGGAUCCAACUGGAGAUGGGUGGAUGGAAGUUACCUGUCAUCAAGAGCCAGCUAUUGGUCUCCAAGAGAACCUAACAAUUCUAGAAACCAGGAAGGUCAUGUGGAAAUAAAGUUCUAUGAUAUUUACAACAGCUGGAAUGAUGCACCAUGGACAAUCGCAAACUACUGGAUUUGUGAGAAGAAGGUUUAGUGAAAACUCUCUGAGCUUUCUUAUCCUUAAAUGGCAUUAGCUUGAGAUCUGCUGAAGUGAAAACCUUAAUGCAGGUCAUCUGUCCUUUCUGCUUUACUUUUCAAUCAUAAUGAAAUCAUUUUAAUCUAUUGGCAUAAUGGGGUUGAUUAAGAAAUGUAAUCUUUUG